rnacentral:rRNA from 1 species
UACGUAGGAUCCAAGCGUUGUCCGGAUUUACUGGGCGUAAAGGGUGCGCAGGCGGACUUGUUAGUCAGAGGUGAAAUCUCACUGCUCAACAGUGAAACUGCCUUUGAUACUGCAGGUCUUGAAUCCAGAAGAGAGUUGUGGAAUUCCGAGUGUAGCAGUGAAAUGUGUAGAUAUUCGGAAGAACACCAGCGGCGAAGGCAGCAACUUGGUCUGGUAUUGACGCUCAGGCACGAAAGCAUGGGGAUCAAACAGG